GAAAUGCGAUAAGUAAUGUGAAUUGCAGAAUUCAGUGAAUCAUCGAAUCUUUGAACGCACAUUGCGCCCGCCAGUAUUCUGGCGGGCAUGCCUGUUCGAGCGUCAUUUCAACCAUCAAGCCCCCGGCUUGUGUUGGGGACCUGCGGCUGCCCGCAGGCCCCGAAAAACAGUGGCGGGCUCGCUGUCACACCGAGCGUAGUAGCAUACAUUCUCGCUCAGGGCGUGCUGCGGGUUCCGGCCGUUAAACGACCUUCAUAACCCAAGGUUGACCUCGGAUCAGGUAGGAAGACCCGCUGAACUUAAGC
rnacentral:misc_RNA from 1 species